UACAUAGGGGCCAAGCGUUGUCCGGAAUUACUGGGCGUAAAGGGCAUGUAGGCGGCCAUCUAAGUCAGAAUUAAAAGACAGAAGCUCAACUUCUGUAUGGUUCUGAGACUGGAUAGCUAGAGGUUGGGAGAGGGAAGUGGAAUUAACAGUGUAGCGGUGAAAUGCGUAGAUAUUGUUAAGAACACCCGUGGCGAAGGCGGCUUCCUGGACCAAACCUGACGCUGAGGUGCGAGAGCGUGGGUAGCAAACAGGAUUAGAUACCCUGGUAGUCCACGCUGUAAACGAUGUACAUUAGGUAUGGGAGGUAUCGACCCCUUCCGUGCCGAAGCUAACGCGUUAAAUGUACCGCCUGGGGAUUACGAUCGCAAGAUUAAA
rnacentral:rRNA from 1 species